UCAAAAUUUUACAUGCUAUUGCCAUGAGCGUGAGCAUUCAAUUCAUAUAGACGUUACAUAGAUUCGUUGACGGAGAGAGGCAGACUCAACGGUUUCAGUUCGAAAAGUUGUGCGUUCGAGCUUGGGCAUAUUCGGAGGCAACGUUGUGAUUAUUACUUCGAUUCGCUCGUCGAUUGCGAUAAUCUAGCAUUCAAAUGAUGAAUCUACAGGGACUUCACAAACCCAAAUCUCCCUACAGAGCAGAAAGGCAGGCCUUCACAACCUGGAUAUGGUGAUGGAGGAAACAUGUGUGCUGCUCAAGGUUCUGGAGCCAGGACAGGUG